GGCAGAGACAAAAUUGUUCCAAAUAAUUUUGUAAGAAUGCACUGUAUUCUGUCCUUAAAAAACACGGGGACCACAUCUCACCCCAGAGACUACAGCCCUUCCCUCACCCCAUCUUUCAGCAGUUCCUGCGGUGGGCCAGACCUGGAGGGCCCAGUCUGAUCUCCGGCAUUCCCCAGCGGCAGCCUGUGUAUGUGUACUGAAACCAAAUCCCUUGUAUUUCAAGACAUAAUGUUUCAAGAAACUAAUAACUAUUGACCUGACUUUUUCAACUCUGAUGUGUACAUUAUCGCUGAUGAAGAGAGAGAGUCACUUUUCCGCUACAGUGGAAAUAUGGGGAAAAUUCUGUUUCCUGCUGAGAAAAAUCAGUAUAUGCAGGAACUGCAACCUGGAAACAGCUUAGCACUAUGAGAGCUUGGCCUUUUUUGCCUUCAGCUUUCUGUUGUGAUGGGCUUGUCUCACCCUGCUCAUCACAUUUCGGAGCUGGAGCUGCCACUGGUGGGGAUGGUGCUGGCCCCUGUGGCACCAACCAGCCCUCAUGUGCUGCUGCAAGAUUAAAUAUCUCAAGUGAUGAUGGCGAAAGCAGGAGCCGUGAGAAACUUUUUUCCCAGUCAUGGGACUUCCUUAGCAACAUUUAUUAUUCAGCCUGCAAAGAGGAGGAGAAAAGUGGUAUUGGAGGCUCCUGGUUCCCCGCCUUGGCCACAGCCCAUGCUGCAGGCUGCACGAGGAGGCCCAGCCAGGCCCGCUGCUCUGGCCUCGCUCCUUGCCCGUGGGUAGUGGCGGAUUGUCGCCACAGACCCGUGCAGGUGGUUGUGAUCUCCGGGCCAAGAGAACUUUCAAAAAGAUUAUGGAAUUUGGGCACCAACAUCAUUUCCAACUAUGAAGGUCUUGCACAGGACGUGGUGAUCAGUCAUCCGUCUCGCGCUGAAAUCUCCUGUUACACCGAUCUUCUGGCAACUCCAUUUUCUCUUCAUUUUUUCACAAGACAUCCGAGAUGAGCCCAGUACCUACUGCGCUGACACACUGCAACCACAGCACUUCAGCCUGGGCUGACAGACAAUUUUGUCUGAAGUGGCUCAAAAGCAGAUGUAUUCAAGCGUGUCUUUUUCUAAGAUGCUUUGAUUAUGACAUCUAUGAAUUUGUUUUCUCGCUGUUAUUAUGCACUAUAAAAUCCCACUAUAUCUUUACUUCCUGUUUUAAAAUGAUUAGAAGUCUAAUGCAUUUUGAUAACAUAAAAUGUGGCAGCUGGGAUGAAAUGAAACUUUGCUUUGAUUCAAGCAUUUCUCUCUAUUAAUCUUCAUACUGUGUUUUAGGGAUGUCUGUUUGGUUUUAGUUAUAUUUACCUAAGUUGUGCAUAAUAUGUGCUGUGUUUGACUCUCCAUUCACAUCCACAUGUGUAAAUUCAGAAUAACUGCUGCAAAGCCAAGGAAAUUAUACCUUAGAUCCAGUUGUAAGAAGAGUAACUGCAGCUUUGAGCUUGGGUCUUUAAUCACAUUUGCAUCCAGUGGAUUUGGCUUUUUAUAUCAACUAGUGCAUUUCACUGGCAGAUAUUUAUAAUGUAACACAGUGAUGUAAGCAGGUGCACAGAACAGAUUACAAAUAGUAGUCGCAGAAUUAAAAAUAAAUCCUCCUGUAGCAAGAAUAUUUCUUUACUUCACAUUCAAUCUCCCACAUGAUUUUGCUCAGAUUUCUGCUGACAAAACUCUGAGUUUAUAUGUAAAUAUUAGAACAUGUUCAAGAUUAUUUUCCAAGUCUAAAAAAAAUACCAUUGCUAUAAUGUAACAGGGUUGGGGAUGCUUAUCAUAUCUGGAGUAUUGCGUUUGAAGAAAUGUGAGUUUCAGAUCCUCAGUGCUGUGUUUUCCUCUGGCAUAUGAAUGAUCUUUUGUUUUUACAUUUUGGUAUGUACAAGUGGCCUCACUCCUGAUGCAAGUGUCCACAGUUAGCAUUUGGACCCACUGCUUGUUUGCUGUUUGAUAAAUGGGUCCUCUGUCAAAAAGCCUUGCCCAAAUUAGUGGAAUGCUUAGACUCCACAUCUUUAUACAAGGUUGAGGAAUGGGGAAUAAGAAUAAUUACUGGGACUGCUUGAAAGAGGAAAUAGUAAUGUGGAAAUCUAUGUCCUGAGGGCCUACAGUGCUCUGAGUCUAUUGAAAAUAAAUAAGUUUAAAUAAAACCAACACAACUCACAGGAACUGCACAGAGUAGAUACAAAUACAGCAUAUCCAGCAGAUGGCAUCUGGUGACAGUGGCAGAGUCAACAAGCCAUGACGUUUAGUUUAUCUGUUGUUGAACACAGAUACAAACAGUGUUGAACUUUACUCAGAGAUCAUCCAUUCAACUCCAAACCAUUAAUGACUUUUCCUAGUGGGAGACAGAGUGUGUCAGUGUGCACCAAUACAGAAAACUUAGAAAUAUUGCUCUGAAAGAGACAUUGUGUCUGAUGGGCAAAGGUUGUUUUCCAGAAAACAGUAUUUUACUGCCUGGAGUUGAAGGUAGCACUUUGAUCAUGUACAUGUGCAGUAUGCUCUGUCAGAUCUCCUCCAGAGUUGUUUUUUCUUCAGGAGCUGUUUCUACAUUGUGAGGGAGAUCACUUGCCAUCUCCCAUACUCUUUGUCACAAACAUGAUAUCCCCAAGUUGUGCCUCAAGACAUGGAGUCCUCUCACACCGGUUAACUGAAGCUGGAAGGUCACUUUACCUCUCUUUACCUGAAACAGAAUUAACACCCUUGAAAAUGCUAAAAAUUUCUUUUUGGCAUCCUCAGAGUGAAAGAGAGAGGAGAUCUGGGGGGGGGGGGGGGAGGAAGUAUAUACUGGAAUAUUUUUUACCUUGUCCUUGCCAGAAGAGCUAAAACAUAAUCUAUCUGGGCACUAUUAGUAGCUGGGGUGAACUGAAUUUAUGGCUGUAAGUCACUUGCUUAUUUUGGAAGGAUAUCUAAACUCAUAUAUAUUGGAAUGGAGUUCAGGAUGCUAGUGGUGGCAUUUAAAUGGCACAAUGAAUCACAAGUUGAGGAUAUUAUUCAAUACCUUAUAUUGUAUUAUCAGAUUUGUGACUCAUGGUUGAUGACACCAGGUCUGGCAGUGUUCUGAAUGAUGCCUUCAGAAAGAACAAUUUGGGUCAUUUUCCUUAGGGUUAUGCGGUCAAGGUGUUAUGCACUCAGCUCACAGGGCUGUGUUAUUACAGGACAGCCAGCGUAUUGCAAUGGAUGUGCUGUGUUUCACAAGCACUUGCAAAGAGACCUUCUUCCUAGCUUUCACCAGCUGUCCUGAACUGUAGCAAGAAUUUCAAAGUGAGAUUCCUUGAAAGUAUUGGAUGCAUUAUAUUAUAUACUUAUUGCUUAAAAAAGCAGUUUUAAUCCACGUCUCUCUUUUACUUCUUUGUGUAAAUAGGGGACAGGGAGGAAGCAGAAAGGAAUCCAGUGGGUUGCAUUGGUCUCACACCCUUCUGCAGCAGCCUCUCAGCACUGGGGAUUCAGGUUUCUCAAAAUAAAUACAUUUUUAACAGGAAGUUGAGAUAAAAAGAAGACAAAAUGUCACUUCUAAUCAAGGAAAUUAAAGAAUUGUCCAUUUUAGGUACUCAGAAUACACCUUGGAGGAACCACAGUCCAACAAGAAGAAAGUAACCGAGCUAACUGUGUCUAAUAUAGCCUAAUUAAAGAAGUCUUUGAGUUACCUUCACUUGAAGGUAAUUGGCUCUUGCCAAUUCAUGCUAUACCCACUGGUAUCAAAAGCAGUGCUGAGAUCCAAACAAAAGCAAAUGUCUACUUCCUAGUACUGGCUGUAUAUUUAGUCAGCUUUACAACACUGGCCACAUUAGAAUAACAUGUUUCUCUAAGGACAACUCCACACAGAAACCAUAAACAGUGCUGGAAGAUGGGUAUUGUAGAAAAAUAUCUGUGAAGGGUAUGAGCAGAAAGAAAUCAUUUACAGCUUCUUUCUUGGUAAAUUUGUCUGCGGAUGUGGAUAGACAUGGAGCCAGACAAGUGGCUCUGCUGCAAGAAAGCUGCUGACAGUCUGAGAAUUGAUCUUAAGGUCCCCAUUUGGGUAACAUGAAACAGAAGACAAUGCACUUCUAAACCACUUUAUAUGAUUCAUAUCAUGAAUAACACCACCCACAUCUAAUCUGUGUUUGCCUCAACUGCCAAAACAUUGCAAUCUAUGAAGAAAGCAGCCUACUGAAUUUAAAGUGGGUGCCUUGCUUUGAAAGAGCACCUUCUUAGGACAAACACUCCAGGCUAGGGAAAACCUAGGAUGACUCAAAGUCUGGAGUGGCUGGUUGUGGUGGAAGUGAAAUCAUUGCCUCAUGGCUGACUCCUCCUUAAAGGGUCAAAUAAUUAAAAAGUACAUCUCCAAGUGCACAAAACUAGAAUCUGUAGCAGCAGAAACACACAAGUUCACAGAAUCACAGAAUCACAGAAUUUCUAGGUUGGAAGAGACCUCAAGAUCAUCGAGUCCAACCUCUAACCUAACACAAACAGUCCCCACU
rnacentral:lncRNA from 1 species